UACGUAGGGUGCGAGCGUUGUCCGGAAUUACUGGGCGUAAAGAGCUCGUAGGUGGUUUGUCGCGUUGUCCGUGAAAACUCACAACUCAAUUGUGGGCGUGCGGGCGAUACGGGCAGACUGGAGUACUGCAGGGGAGACUGGAAUUCCUGGUGUAGCGGUGAAAUGCGCAGAUAUCAGGAGGAACACCGGUGGCGAAGGCGGUUCUCUGGGCA
rnacentral:rRNA from 1 species